UACGUAGGGGGCAAGCGUUGUCCGGAAUCAUUGGGCGUAAAGCGCGUGUAGGCGGCUCGGUAAGUCUGCUGUGAAAGUCCAGGGCUCAACCCUGGGAUGCCGGUGGAUACUGUCGGGCUCGAGUCCGGAAGAGGAGAGUGGAAUUCCGUGGUGUAGCGGUGAAAUGCGUAGAUAUCUGGAGGAACACCGGUGGCGAAGGCGGCGUCCUGGCCGGCAUGACGCGUGAGGCGCGAAAGCCAGGGGAGCAAACGGG
rnacentral:rRNA from 1 species